rnacentral:rRNA from 1 species
UACGUAGGGUGCAAGCGUUAAUCGGAAUUACUGGGCGUAAAGCGUGCGCAGGCGGUAAUGUAAGACAGAUGUGAAAUCCCCGGGCUCAACCUGGGAAUUGCAUUGGAUACUGGCGGGCUAGAGUACGGUAGAGGGUGGCGGAAUUCCUGGUGUAGCAGUGAAAUGCGUAGAUAUCAGGAGGAACAUCCGUGGCGAAGGCGGCCACCUGGACCAGUACUGACACUGAGGCACGAAAGCGUGGGGAGCAAACAGG